CCGGCUGCGCCCGGAGGA
rnacentral:miRNA from 1 species